AUUGAACGCUGGCGGCAUGAUCUACACAUGCAAGUCGAACGGUAACAGGCCGCAAGGUGCUGACGAGUGGCGAACGGGUGAGUAAUGCAUCGGAACGUGCCCAGUCGUGGGGGAUAACUACUCGAAAGAGUAGCUAAUACCGCAUACGAUCUAUGGAUGAAAGCGGGGGACCGUAAGGCCUCGCGCGAUUGGAGCGGCCGAUGUCAGAUUAGGUAGUUGGUGGGGUAAAGGCUCACCAAGCCAACGAUCUGUAGCUGGUCUGAGAGGACGACCAGCCACACUGGGACUGAGACACGGCCCAGACUCCUACGGGAGGCAGCAGUGGGGAAUUUUGGACAAUGGGCGCAAGCCUGAUCCAGCAAUGCCGCGUGCAGGAAGAAGGCCUUCGGGUUGUAAACUGCUUUUGUACGGAACGAAACGGCUCUGGUUAAUACCCGGGGCUAAUGACGGUACCGUAAGAAUAAGCACCGGCUAACUACGUG
rnacentral:rRNA from 1 species